rnacentral:lncRNA from 1 species
GAAGCUCAAGUUCACCAUGAACCACAGCAGUAAGCCAUGCUUUAGCCUCUGACCUGUGCUCCAAUUUUGGCACAAUGAUUUCUGCCAUGUUCUCCAACAGGGUGAGGAAACAGACAGCACUAAGAGAAAAAGCUGGAACUCAAAACCAAAUUAACUCCAAACUUGAGUUUUCCCACUUCGACAAGCAUAGAGGACUAGGACAAUGAACCGUACCUUACACCCGGCAUCUUAGAAAUACUUCGGGGAAAAAUCUAUGGAAAAUAGAUUUGAAACUUCCAUAUGCUUUCUGUGCACUUUUACUAACCAAGAUAAUUUACCAAUAUUUUCCUAGAAAAGGAACUGCAUGUGUUUUUCUGCCUCUUCCAGAUGUAUGUCAUAAAAGUUGGAUGCCUUCCUUUUAAGACAUUUGAAUGGAUCACCAAAUAAUUACCUACUUUUCUCUCACAACUCAGAUAAAUAAUUAAAAGGAGAUAUACACA